AUUGAACGCUGGCGGCAGGCUUAACACAUGCAAGUCGAGCGGGGGAAGGUAGCUUGCUACCGGACCUAGCGGCGGACGGGUGAGUAAUGCUUAGGAAUCUGCCUAUUAGUGGGGGACAACAUCGCGAAAGGGAUGCUAAUACCGAAUACGUCCUACGGGAGAAAGCAGGGGAUCUUCGGACAUUGCGCUAAUCGACGAGCCUAAGUCGGAUUAGCUAGUAGGUGGGGUAAAGGCCUACCAAGGAGACGAUCUGUAGCGGGUCUGAGAGGAAGGUCCGCCACACUGGGACUGAGACACAGCCCAGACUCCUACGGGAGGCAGCAGUGGGGAAUAUUGGACAAUGGGGGGAACCCUGAUCCAGCCAUGCCGCGUGUGUGAAGAAGGCCUUAUGGUUGUAAAGCACUUUAAGCGAGGAGGAGGCUACUUUAGUUAAUACCUAGAGAUAGUGGACGUUACUCGCAGAAUAAGCACCGGCUAACUCUGUGCCAGCAGCCGCAGUAA
rnacentral:rRNA from 1 species